GGAUUUAGAUACCCUGGUAGUCCACGCCGUAAACGAUGUCGACUUGGAGGUUGUUCCCUUGAGGAGUGGCUUCCGGAGCUAACGCGUUAAGUCGACCGCCUGGGGAGUACGGCCGCAAGGUUAAAACUCAAAUGAAUUGACGGGGGCCCGCACAAGCGGUGGAGCAUGUGGUUUAAUUCGAUGCAACGCGAAGAACCUUACCUACUCUUGACAUCCAGAGAANUUNGCAGAGAUGCUUUGGUGCCUUCGGGAACUGUGAGACAGGUGCUGCAUGGCUGUCGUCAGCUCGUGUUGUGAAAUGUUGGGUUAAGUCCCGCAACGAGCGCAACCCUUAUCCUUUGUUGCCAGCGCGUGAUGGCGGGAACUCAAAGGAGACUGCCGGUGAUAAACCGGAGGAAGGUGGGGAUGACGUCAAGUCAUCAUGGCCCUUACGAGUAGGGCUACACACGUGCUACAAUGGCGCAUACAAAGAGAAGCGACCUCGCGAGAGCAAGCGGACCUCACAAAGUGCGUCGUAGUCCGGAUCGGAGUCUGCAACUCGACUCCGUGAAGUCGGAAUCGCUAGUAAUCGUGGAUCAGAAUGCCACGGUGAAUACGUUCCCGGGCCUUGUACACACCGCCCGUCACACCAUGGGAGUGGGUUGCAAAAGAAGUAGGUAGCUUAACCUUCGGGAGGGCGCUUACCACUUUGUGAUUCAUGACUGGGGUGAAGUCGUAACAAGGUAAC
rnacentral:rRNA from 1 species